rnacentral:rRNA from 1 species
ACGGGGAGCAGCAGGCGCGAAACCUUUACACUGCACGCCAGUGCGAUAAGGGGAUUCCGAGUGCGAGGGCAUACAGUCCUCGCUUUUGUGGACCGUAGGAUGGUCCACGAAUAAGGGCUGGGCAAGACCGGUGCCAGCCGCCGCGGUAAUACCGGCAGGCCAAGUGAUGGCCGAUAUUAUUGGGCCUAAAGCGUCCGUAGCCGGCCGGGCUGGUCCGUCGGGAAAUCCACGCGCUCAACGCGUGGGCGUCCGGCGGGUACCGUCCGGCUUGGGACCGGGAGACCUGAGGGGUACGUCCAGGGUAGGAGUGAAAUCCCGUAAUCCUGGACGGACCGCCGGUGGCGAAAGCGCCUCAGGAGAACGGAUCCGACGGUGAGGGACGAAAGCUAGGGUCUCGAACCGGAUUAGAUACCCGGGUAGUCCUAGCCGUAAACGAUGUCCGCUAGGUGUGGCGCAGGCUACGAGCCUGCGCUGUGCCGUAGGGAAGCCGUGAAGCGGACCGCCUGGGAAGUAUGCCCGCAAGGGUGAAACUUAGAGGAAUUGGCGGGGGAGCAC